AAGAGUUUAGAUGAAGAGUGCAUGAAACUCAAGGAAGAUAAAUUCCUUUAAUGACUUCAAAAAUCCUCAAAAUCCUUUUUUAGAACUCCAAGUUAUCACUAUCUCUUUCAAAUUCAGAGCCCCCAAAAAAGUAUCCCAAAAGCCUUAUUUAUUGCAAUUUCUGCGUGUCUGAGCAAUAUGAUAUCACACCCAAGGGUAUAUCGCGAUCAUGAUGUAACAUCAUCACACCCAUAAUAUCAGCAUCGCGACCGCGUGAAAAACAAAGGUGAAAUGGCUUUUUU
rnacentral:lncRNA from 1 species